rnacentral:pre_miRNA from 1 species
AAUACAUGUCGCCGUUGACUUUUAACCGUAUGUUUGACCACUUGUCUUAUUCAAAAAAUUUAUAAAAAUAUUAUUUAUUUUGUUAUGAAUUGGUUUAUUACUAUAUAUAUUUUAAACAUGACAUGCAUUUUUACAUAUUUGCAUAAAUUUUUUGAAUAAGACGAAUGGUCAAACAUGUGAUAAAAAGUUAAUGGCGACAUGUAUU